rnacentral:ncRNA from 1 species
ACUCGCGGUAGAGGCGCGAAAUAAAUCAGUAGUGUUUGUUGGGGUGAUGCCAAUGAACAAAUACGAAAGGUUGUUUCGCCGAAGUGAGUAUUCAAAUCAAAGAUGCUUGCUGGGGUUACACUCGAAAGGGGUAACACUGCCAUAGUCUAUAAUUUUGUAAAACUAUGGAGCGCUACUGUAGGG